rnacentral:lncRNA from 1 species
AAGACUACCAUUUUUCACUAAAAAAAAGACAUCUUAUCUCCAUAAUGUAACAUUACUAUUUUGUAAAAAAAACAUUAUAUAUAAUUUUGAAAAUAAUAAAUAAUAUGUAAACAUACAACAUAAAAAAAGGAAAUACUACAUUAAACAUAUGUAAGAUUACCAUUUUAUAUUUAAAAAUAACAAUAAUAUGUAAACAUACAACAUGAAAAAAAUGGAAAAACUACAUUAAACAUAUGUAAAAUUACUAUUUUUUACUAAAAAAAAACAGUUUAUCUCCAUAAUGUAACAUAACCAUUUUAUAAAAAAAAGAAAAAAAAACAUAAAUAUAACUAUUUGACUAUUUGUCCAAAUUAUUCUUUAAAACAUUGUCGUUUUACAUUAAAAAUGAAAAAAUACAUUAAUAUUUAAACAUCUAUCUUGAAAUAUAAAAAAUAGAUAUUAAUAAAAUAUAAAGUAUAAGAAAGAGAAAUACACAAUAUAUAGAAAAAUAAAUAAUAAGUAAAUAUUAUAAAUAUAUAAAUAUACGAAUUAUAUAUACAAUAAUAAGUAAAUGCAAAAUUUUAAAAAAAUGGAAAGAGUACAUUAAAUAUUAAACAUCUAUCUUAAAAUGUAAAAUACAGAUAUGAAGUAAAUAGAAAGUAUAAGAAAAAGAAAUACACAACUUAAAAACAAUGGAAAAAAUUAUAUUAAGAUUUAAACAUCUAUCUUAAAAUAUAAAAUAUAGAUAUUACGCAAAUAGAAAGUAUAAGAAAAAGAAAUACACAAUUUAAAAAAAUAGAAAAAGUACAUUAGUAUUUAAACAUCUAUCUUAAAAUGUAAAUCUAUCUUUGAGGCUCCAUAGAGCGUCCACAUCAGCAAAAAAAACUUCUCCCGAAAGAUGACACGUGACAUAAAAUAUAGUUUUACAUUUUAAUAUUACUAAUUUUCGAAAAUUAUAAAUAAUAUGUAAACAUACAGCAUAAAAAAAAUAGAAAAACUACAUUAAACAUAUGUAAGACUACCAUUUUUCACUAAAAAAAAAGACAUCUUAUCUCCAUAAUGUAACAUUACUAUUUUGUAAAAAAAAACAUUAUAUAUAAUUUUGAAAAUAAUAAAUAAUAUGUAAACAUACAACAUAAAAAAAGGAAAUACUACAUUAAACAUAUGUAAGAUUACCAUUUUAUAUUUAAAAAUAACAAUAAUAUGUAAACAUACAACAUGAAAAAAAUGGAAAAACUACAUUAAACAUAUGUAAAAUUACUAUUUUUUACUAAAAAAAAACAGUUUAUCUCCAUAAUGUAACAUAACCAUUUUAUAAAAAAAAGAAAAAAAACAUAAAUAUAACUAUUUGACUAUUUGUCCAAAUUCUUCUUUAAAACAUUGUCGUUUUACGUUAAAAAUGAAAAAAUACAUUAAUAUUUAAACAUCUAUCUUAAAAUAUAAAAAAUAGAUAUUAAUAAAAUAUAAAGUAUAAGAAAGAGAAAUACACAAUAUAUAGAAAAAUAAAUAAUAAGUAAAUAUUAUAAAUAUAUAAAUAUACGAAUUAUAUAUACAAUAAUAAGUAAAUGCAAAAUUUUAAAAAAAUGGAAAGUGAACAUUAAAUAUUAAACAUCUAUCUUAAAAUGUAAAAUACAGAUAUGAAGUAAAUAGAAAGUAUAAGAAAAAGAAAUACACAACUUAAAAACAAUGGAAAAAAUUAUAUUAAGAUUUAAACAUCUAUCUUAAAAUAUAAAAUAUAGAUAUUACGCAAAUAGAAAGUAUAAGAAAAAGAAAUACACAAUUUAAAAAAAUAGAAAAAGUACAUUAGUAUUUAAACAUCUAUCUUAAAAUGUAAAUCUAUCUUUGAGGCUCCAUAUACGUCCACAUCAGCAAAAAAAACUUCUCCCGAAAGAUGACACGUGGCAUAAAAUAUAGUUUUACAUUUUAAUAUUACUAAUUUUCGAAAAUUAUAAAUAAUAUGUAAACAUACAGCAUAAAAAAAAUAGAAAAACUACAUUAAACAUAUGUAAGACUACCAUUUUUCACUAAAAAAAAGACAUCUUAUCUCCAUAAUGUAACAUUACUAUUUUGUAAAAAAAACAUUAUAUAUAAUUUUGAAAAUAAUAAAUAAUAUGUAAACAUACAACAUAAAAAAAGGAAAUACUACAUUAAACAUAUGUAAGAUUACCAUUUUAUAUUUAAAAAUAUAAAUAAUAUGUAAACAUACAACAUGAAAAAAAUGGAAAAACUACAUUAAACAUAUGUAAAAUUACUAUUUUUACUAAAAAAAAACAGUUUAUCUCCAUAAUGUAACAUAACCAUUUUAUAAAAAAAAAGAAAAAAAAACAUAAAUAUAACUAUUUGACUAUUUGUCCAAAUUCUUCUUUAAAACAUUGUCGUUUUACAUUAAAAAUGAAAAAAUACAUUAAUAUUUAAACAUCUAUCUUAAAAUAUAAAAAAUAGAUAUUAAUAAAAUAAAAAGUAUAAGAAAGAGAAAUACACAAUAUAUAGAAAAAUAAAUAAUAAGUAAAUAUUAUAAAUAUAUAAAUAUACGAAUUAUAUAUACAAUAAUAAGUAAAUGCAAAAUUUUAAAAAAAUGGAAAGAGUACAUUAAAUAUUAAACAUCUAUCUUAAAAUGUAAAAUACAGAUAUGAAGUAAAUAGAAAGUAUAGGAAAAAGAAAUACACAACUUAAAAACAAUGGAAAAAAUUAUAUUAAGAUUUAAACAUCUAUCUUAAAAUAUAAAAUAUAGAUAUUACGCAAAUAGAAAGUAUAAGAAAAAGAAAUACACAAUUUAAAAAAAUAGAAAAAGUACAUUAGUAUUUAAACAUCUAUCUUAAAAUGUAAAUCUAUCUUUGAGGCUCCAUAGAGCGUCCACAUCAGCAAAAAAAACUUCUCCCGAAAGAUGACACGUGGCAUAAAAUAUAGUUUUACAUUUUAAUAUUACUAAUUUUCGAAAAUUAUAAAUAAUAUGUAAACAUACAGCAUAAAAAAAAUAGAAAAACUACAUUAAACAUAUGUAAGACUACCAUUUUUCACUAAAAAAAAGACAUCUUAUCUCCAUAAUGUAACAUUACUAUUUUGUAAAAAAAACAUUAUAUAUAAUUUUGAAAAUAAUAAAUAAUAUGUAAACAUACAACAUAAAAAAAGGAAAUACUACAUUAAACAUAUGUAAGAUUACCAUUUUAUAUUUAAAAAUAACAAUAAUAUGUAAACAUACAGCAUGAAAAAAAAUGGAAAAAUUACAUUAAACAUAUGUAAAAUUACUAUUUCUUACUAAAAAAAAACAGUUUAUCUCCAUAAUGUAACAUAACCAUUUUAUAAAAAAAAGAAAAAAAAACAUAAAUAUAACUAUUUGACUAUUUGUCCAAAUUCUUCUUUAAAACAUUGCCGUUUUACAUUAAAAAUGAAAAAAUACAUUAAUAUUUAAACAUCUAUCUUAAAAUAUAAAAAAUAGAUAUUAAUAAAAUAUAAAGUAUAAGAAAGAGAAAUACACAAUAUAUAGAAAAAUAAAUAAUAAGUAAAUAUUAUAAAUAUAUAAAUAUACGAAUUAUAUAUACAAUAAUAAGUAAAUGCAAAAUUUUAAAAAAAUGGAAAGAGUACAUUAAAUAUUAAACAUCUAUCUUAAAAUGUAAAAUACAGAUAUGAAGUAAAUAGAAAGUAUAAGAAAAAGAAAUACACAACUUAAAAACAAUGGAAAAAAUUAUAUUAAGAUUUAAACAUCUAUCUUAAAAUAUAAAAUAUAGAUAUUACGCGAAUAGAAA